CAAGCGGAUUGGGCAGCUGCGGCGUCAGGGACUUAUCACCCCUGCCGACGAGGAAAGUCCGGGCUUCACAGAGCAGGAUAACGGCUAACGGCCGCCGAGGGUGACCUUAGGGACAGUGCAACAGAGAUAUACCGCCUGCUUAGGGUAGUGAGAAUGAAUCUGAAUAUGUUUUUUGGGUGUGUUCGGAUUUGUUCUCGCUACCCUGGUGGGUAAGGGUGGAAAGGCGAGGUAAGAGCUCACCGGCGUGCAGGAGACUGCACGGCCCUGUAAACCCUAUCCGAAGCAACACCGACCGAAGUGGCUUGCUCGGCCUAUACUUCAACGGGUGGCUCGAGCACUGUGGCAACGCAGUGCCUAGAAAGAUAGUUGCCUUAAACGACAGAACCCGGCUUACAGAUCCGCUUGUUUU
rnacentral:RNase_P_RNA from 1 species